UCGGGCUGAAGACUCUACUUGACUAGCUGAGAGGAGGUGCAUGGCCGUCGUCAGUCGUACUGUGAAGCAUCCUGUUAAGUCAGGCAACGAGCGAGACCCACGCCAACAGUUGCCAGCUCGUCCUCCGGGAUGGUGGGGACACUGUUGGGACCGACCUCUGCUAAAGAGGAGGAAGGAAUGGGCACGGUAGGUCAGCAUGCCCCGAAUUAUCUGGGCUACACGCGGGCUACAAUGGGUGGGACAAUGGGUAUCGACACCGAAAGGUGAAGGCAAUCUCCUAAACCCAUCCGUAGUUCGGAUUGUGGGCUGCAACUCGCCCACAUGAAGCUGGAAUCUGUAGUAAUCGUGUCUCAAAAUGGCACGGUGAAUAUGUCCCUGCUCCUU
rnacentral:rRNA from 1 species